AUAAGCGGAGGAAAAGAAACUAACAAGGAUUCCCCUAGUAACUGCGAGUGAAGCGGGAAAAGCUCAAAUUUAAAAUCUGACAGUCUUUGACUGUCUGAGUUGUAGCCUAGAGAAGUGCUGCCCGUGCUGGACCAUGUAUAAGUCUCCUGGAAUGGAGUGUCACAGAGGGUGAGAAUCCCGUCUUUGAUAUGGACUGCCAGUGCAUUGUGGUGUGCUCUCAAAGAGUCGAGUUGUUUGGGAAUGCAGCUCUAAAUGGGUGGUAAAUUCCAUCUAAGGCUAAAUAUUGGCGAGAGACCGAUAGUGAACAAGUACCGUGAGGGAAAGAUGAAAAGAACUUUGGAAAGAGAGUUAAACAGUAUGUGAAAUUGUUGAAAGGGAAACAUUUGAAGUCAGUUGUGUUAGCUUGGGGAUCAACCCAGCUUUUCUGCUUGGGUGUAUUUCCUGGUUGACAGGCCAACAUCAGUUUUGACCAUUAGAAAAAAACCAAGGAAAUGUGGCACCUCUGGGUGUGUUAUAGUCCUUGGUUGUAUGUAGUGGUUGGGACUGAGGGAUGCAGCACACCAUAAGGCUGGGUUUUGCCACAUUUGUGCUUASGAUGUUGGCAUAAUGGCUUUAAGUGACCCGUCUUGAAACACGGACCAAGGAGUCUAACAUGCCUGCAAGUGUUUGGGUGGAAAACCCAUGCGCGUAAUGAAAGUGAAAGUUGAGAUCCCUGUCAUGGGGAGCAUUGACGCCCAGACCAGAACUUUUGGGACGGAUCUGCGGUAGAGCAUGCAUGUUGGGACCCGAAAGAUGGUGAACUAUGCCUGAAUAGGGUGAAGCC
rnacentral:rRNA from 1 species